AAUGCAGUGUGGCCAUGCCCUCUAGGCUUAGCAAUUGGGUGUCUUAGACCAAGACUGCCACCAUCAGUCCAAUGGAAGCCCGGGUUAAGAGAGAGAGAGGGAGAGAAUAACUGGCCCAAAGUCACUCAGCUGGCUUCAUGUCUGACAUGG